UCCCUGCCCUAUAGGCUACACCACAUUUUCUAGAUACAGUUUUUUUUUUGCUCUUUUUCCGCUCCAUAGUUAUACUGUACAUAAUUCUAUGAAAUUGAGGAUAUUGUUUUGUUUUUUGUGGGUUUUUUUUCGUAAAACUGCAAUACCGUGCUAAAUGUUCCUCAUGUCAGCUCAUGUGAAAGCUUUGUCGCCCUUUAGCGGUGAUGCAAUAAACUACAACAACAUCCGAACGUUCCGUCGCAAAAAUGAUGACGAGCCACCUGACUCGUGUUUCGUGCGACAACACGUUCCAAUAACAAUCGCGUAAUUGUCCGAACUCGGAAGGGGAAACGCUGAAGCGUCGCUAUCGGAUGGUUCCGGUCCGCCAGUGGUGCCGUGAAAGAUGGAGAGCCUCUGAAGAGAGCUGUAACUCCCCAGGGGCGGUUUGACAAGGACGGGGAGAAAACCAAGGAUGUUCUGGAAAGGUAUCCUGAAGAUGUGAAUCCUGUGA